AGAAAAUCAACAUGAGAUUCUGGCUUUGCGGAAUGAAAAUUUAUUGUUCAAGUAGUAACGAUACAAUCUUUAAUAUGCAUUUGUAAAAUUAAAAAAUAAAAAUAAAGCAAGGAAAAGAAACUAAAAUGAAGAAGUUCAUAGCUUCAAGCAGGAGUUUAAUUUCACCUGUCGGUCAUGACGAACAUUGCUUGUUGGGUGUCCAUUGAAGCUUUAUAAAGCAACAAUAUCAUCAAAGUCCAAUUCUUUUCCACAACACAUUUCCAGUUCUCAUCCCACUUUAACACCAAAAAUGCCAGCUUCCACUCCUCUUAAAUCCCAAAUAGCUGAAAAGAUCAAAUCUUCACUUGCUUUACACCAGAAUUAUUAAGAAAGGUCAUUGCUUCGUCUGCAUAAGCAAAGUUCCUGCCUUUUUGGACAGUUACAAGGAAUUCAGGGAGACCCUGUGGAAUAUUUCCACCAACUUCAUUUACACAUUCAUCGAAGCCGAUUGUUUGGAGAAUAUUUGGCUGUCUGAGGGUUGAAGGGCGGAGAAAUGAUAGAAAAGUUCACAGCGGACGACAGAUGCUCGAUGAAAUGCUGCAGUGAGAUUAUAUGGGAAAUCAGUCCACGAAAAAGACGAAAUUUUUUAUGGUCACAAGAUAUACUUUUUAGUUUUGUUAACAAAUUUUCUUUAGUAACUCCAAGUUUUAUAUGAGAU
rnacentral:lncRNA from 1 species